GACGAACGCUGGCGGCGUGCUUAACACAUGCAAGUCGAGCGGUAAGGCCCUUCGGGGUACACGAGUAGCGAACGGGUGAGUAACACGUGGGUGAUCUGCCCUGCACUUCGGGAUAAGCCUGGGAAACUGGGUCUAAUACCGGAUAGGACUCCGGACUGCAUGGUCUGGGGUGGAAAGCUUUUGCGGUGUGGGAUGGGCCCGCGGCCUAUCAGCUUGUUGGUGGGGUGAUGGCCCACCAAGGCGACGACGGGUAGCCGGCCUGAGAGGGUGACCGGCCACACUGGGACUGAGAUACGGCCCAGACUCCUACGGGAGGCAGCAGUGGGGAAUAUUGCACAAUGGGCGCAAGCCUGAUGCAGCGACGCCGCGUGAGGGAUGACGGCCUUCGGGUUGUAAACCUCUUUCAGCACAGACGAAGCGCAAGUGACGGUAGGUGCAGAAGAAGGACCGGCCAACUACGUGCCAGCCGCCGCCGUAA
rnacentral:rRNA from 1 species